AUUGAACGCUGGCGGCAGGCCUAACACAUGCAAGUCGAGCGGAAACGAUCCUAGCUUGCUAGGAGGCGUCGAGCGGCGGACGGGUGAGUAACGCGUGAGAAUCUACCCAUGAGUGGGGGACAACCCGGGGAAACUCGGGCUAAUACCGCAUACGCCCUACGGGGUAAAGCAGGGGACCUUCGGGCCUUGCGCUGAUGGAUGAGCUCGCGUCGGAUUAGCUUGUUGGUGAGGUAAAGGCUCACCAAGGCGACGAUCCGUAGCUGGUCUGAGAGGAUGAUCAGCCACACCGGGACUGAGACACGGCCCGGACUCCUACGGGAGGCAGCAGUGGGGAAUCUUGGACAAUGGGGGCAACCCUGAUCCAGCCAUGCCGCGUGUGUGAAGAAGGCCUUCGGGUUGUAAAGCACUUUCAGCAGGGAGGAGGGCUUACCCCUAAUACGGGUGAGUACUUGACGUUACCUGCAGAAGAAGCACCGGCUAAUUUCGUG
rnacentral:rRNA from 1 species